GGGGAGAUAGCGAAGCGGUCAAACGCGGCAGACUGUAAAUCUGUUGGCUCAGCCUUCGAAGGUUCGAAUCCUUCUCUCCCCACCA
rnacentral:tRNA from 1 species